rnacentral:rRNA from 1 species
UACGGGGGGGGCAAGCGUUGUUCGGAAUUACUGGGCGUAAAGGGUUUGUAGGUGGCUUGCUAAGUCAGACGUGAAAUCCCUCAGCUUAACUGGGGAACUGCGUCUGAGACUGGCAAGCUCGAGUGCAGGAGAGGAACGCGGAAUUCCAGGUGUAGCGGUGAAAUGCGUAGAUAUCUGGAGGAACACCGGUGGCGAAGGCGGCGUUCUGGACUGCAACUGACACUGAAAAACGAAAGCCAGGGGAGCAAACGGGG